UCUUAUAGAUGAACAAAGAGUGGUUUCUUGAGAUGGAAUCUACCCCUAGUGAAGAUGCUGUGAA
rnacentral:pre_miRNA from 1 species